UGGCUCAGAACGAACGCUGGCGGCAUGCCUAACACAUGCAAGUCGAACGAGACCUUCGGGUCUAGUGGCGCACGGGUGCGUAACGCGUGGGAAUCUGCCCUGGGGUGCGGAAUAACUCGGAGAAAUCCGUGCUAAUACCGCAUAAUGUCUUCGGACCAAAGAUUUAUCGCCCUGGGAUGAGCCCGCGUAGGAUUAGCUAGUUGGUGGGGUAAAGGCCUACCAAGGCGACGAUCCUUAGCUGGUCUGAGAGGAUGAUCAGCCACACUGGGACUGAGACACGGCCCAGACUCCUACGGGAGGCAGCAGUGGGGAAUAUUGGACAAUGGGCGAAAGCCUGAUCCAGCAAUGCCGCGUGAGUGAUGAAGGCCCUAGGGUUGUAAAGCUCUUUUACCCGGGAUGAUAAUGACAGUACCGGGAGAAUAAGCUCCGGCUAACUCCGUG
rnacentral:rRNA from 1 species